UUGCACGAAGCACCCCGGGCUUUGCUGUAGAACUCCGUGACGACGAAAGCCCCAAUGCUGGUGCCAGCUAGAUUCGCCAUUCCGUGUUGCAGUUCUGUUCACGAAUUCCUACGACCGAUCUGUGUCAAUGUAACGGCUAAACUU